AGCCAUGAUUGAAAGUCAGGAAUAGACAGGGCUGCUCUGUCUCUCGGUUGAAUGAUUUGCUGCUGAUUUUCUGACAGAUUUACCCAGUGUGUGCCUGCAUAUUCUUGGCCUUUGUCGACUUGGCCAGGGCCAGGGAUAAAUCCACUGUGUUUGUGUAUAGGUUUUGGAAACCACUUGUAGCAAGUUACUUUGGUUAGGGUAUGUGAUUUGCAGUGAGCAGAGAGGAUUUGAAAAGGAAUAAUAUGUGAAAAGAGUAAUUGUUUGGGACUAUUGAUUGUUGACGACCAGGAUUUUGUCUCUCAACUCCCCCUUUUCAAAAGUUUUCUUGAAAGUGUUAUAGAGAAGAGGGAUUUUCUCAUACACUGUAGUUCUGCCCUAGAUAAGCACCAAACUCCUUGCAUAAACUUGCAUAGCUUCAUACAGGGUGGAUCCUACUAGCUGACUGUUCAUGUCCUGUUACAUGUUUUUGGCGUUGAUGAUUUGAUUGUUGACAGAGCGUCAAAACUGUGAUUCUUGUUGCUCUGAAUCAGUGGCGCAUGGAGUUUUACUCAUGAUCUUGGAUUUAAUAUUCUUUGGAUAUACUCAAAACCUUGGAUUUAAUGUGAAUCCUGAUUGCCUUGAUGAGUUAUGUUGUGAUGAGGAUAGUGCAAUAACAGACAGACAACUGUAUUCAGGAUCAGUUUGAUAGAACUUUUGUGCAAUAUUGCACAUGUAGAUCUGUACAUGUACAUGUUACGUUCAUGUCUAUGGAUUUCACUUGUUCUCAGCAAGUUUAUAAUAUGAAGGAUGUCAAACUUUUUAUAGCAGUUUGAUAGACCUUACUUAGAGUUCACUUCUCUGUAGUCGUGGUUAAAUUUGUGAAUUUCGAUGCACAAGCGUUACAGCGCCCUCUGUUGUUCAGUGGGCAUUGAUUCGUUGCGGAUCAAGGAGAAUGAGAAACCAUCUAAUACACUGCCGUGGGAUCGCAAUGGCCAUUCAAAAUCAAGGCAACAGAAUAUGAAGGCGGACCCAGAGAAGCUCUACACGAAGCUAGAGCGUAUCGGCAAGGGUUCCUUCGGCGAGGUCUACAAGGGCAUAGACAACAUCUGCAAGGAGAUCGUAGCCAUCAAGAUCAUCGAUCUAGAGGAGGCUGAAGAUGAGAUUGAAGACAUUCAGCAAGAGAUCACCGUCCUCAGUCAAUGUGAUUCGAUUUAUGUCACAAAGUACCAUGGCUCAUACCUCAAGGGCACCAAGUUAUGGAUCAUCAUGGAGUACCUGGGAGGAGGGUCCGCCUUAGAUCUUCUCAAGUCAGGUGCAAUGGAUGAGAUCUACAUUGCAACCAUCCUACGUGAAGUCAUCAAGGGAUUAGAUUAUCUGCACUGUGAGAGGAAGAUACAUAGAGAUAUCAAAGCUGCAAAUGUAUUACUGUCUGAGAAUGGCGAUGUCAAACUGGCUGACUUUGGUGUAGCCGGUCAACUCACAGAGACACAGAUAAAGAGAAAUACGUUCGUUGGUACACCGUUCUGGAUGGCUCCUGAAGUCAUUAAACAGUCAGCUUACGACUCAAAGGCUGACAUGUGGUCCUUAGGCAUCACAGCUAUCGAGCUGGCUAAAGGGGAACCCCCUAACUCUGAUCUUCACCCCAUGAGAGUCCUCUUCCUCAUCCCAAAGAACAACCCACCCAAGCUAGAAGGCAGCUAUACCAAGAACUUCAAGGACUUUGUAGAAGUCUGUUUAAACAAAGACCCACGGCAUCGGCCGACAGCCAAGGAGCUACUAAAACACCGCUUCAUCAAGCAAGCAAAGAGAACCUCCUACCUGACAGAGCUGAUUGAGCGUUAUAAGAGGUGGAAGGCAGAGGGUAACGACUCGCCGGACUCAGACCCAGAGGAUAAUGAAUUCCCUAAUGAGUCGCUUCAGAAUAACUUGCCUGAUUUUGACUACGGGAACACGAUCAGGGGACCACAGUACAUUCCUGAGCCUCCUCAUCCUGAACCAGUUGAAUCUAUCCCUAGAAGACAACCUAAAUCAGAGUGCAUUCAGUCCCUCCUUGGUCCUAUACUCAGAGAUCUCAAGCGCAAGAAUGAGGGUUUAUCCGGUGCCAUCGAUGAGCUUCAGAACAGCUUUGAUAUGGCAGAAGAGUCGAGUCCAGGAAUCUGUGAUAGAUUAGUCAGUCAGGUUGUCUCUAGAGUAGAAAGUCCUCCAAGACCAUCAGUGUCAAGAUCAGGUCAACAUUAACCAAUCAUCACACCCCCACCCACCAGCAGCCAUCGUGUCAUGCUCGUGAACAGAACUGUACCAGCAAGCCAAGCAUGAGCAAGCAAGCCAAGACUGUAUGAACAAUGAUGAGCACGGUCAAUAAUGCGGCACAAGACACCAUUGUGUCCUCAUCGGUGGUGACUUCUUUGCGGCAGGCAUUCGUGUCAUUGUACUGGUUCAGAUGCUAGAUGGCAAGGAAGAGAUUAGGAUGUCAUUGAUGAUAUCAACAGAGAAGGGCAUUUUUCAGAAAGGGCGUAUCAUCGAUACCAAGCUGUAAAGAAGGAUGUGUGAUGAUUAUCAAGCGGUAGAGUGUGUGCUUUGAGAUGCUUAACCCAUUGCUUACUGGAACCUUGUGGCUCUUGUAUAAAGCCUAUGACAAUGAAUGAAUUCAGUAGUCAACCGGUUAAUGGCUAAUCUUUUCAGGAUUUGUCAGCAUUGGAGAGAAAGAAGUUUCUUGUUUAAAGGAGACAGAAGUGAUUGAUUGAUGUGUCCAUUCGCUUUCAUAGAAGAGUUACAGCCAGAGUGAGAGAUGAUUAGUAGAAAUGCCUUACUCCAGUUCUAGUACAGCAUGUAGACGUGUCUCCCUCCAUUGGUACUGCUAAGAACGGUGUCACAAGAAAUAGCCUUCAGACAGACAUUAUUAACAUCAUAACACUCUCUUGUUCCAGUCUACAGUAAUGACAGUAGAAAUAGUAUAUGUAUCUGGCUGGAUUUUCAUUACAUUUGAUGCUUGUAGACUCGGCUUCAUGGAGAGUCGUUAUGACAAACACUUGCGGAAAAACCCUUCUGUGAAUUUGUGCAUGUUCAUGAAAGAAAGGAUCGUCCCGCAACCUUUGCUUUUGCGAGGAACCCUUAUCUUCAUUUUCGGGUUGUAUGCUAUAAGAUUGUAAUAUCCCUGUUACAAUGCAACUAUACUGCUUAGCUCUGUCUCGCUACAAUUUAAUAUGAUACAGUGUUACUGAGUAACCAUACAUUUACACUGUAGCUCUUGUAUAGGGUAAUACAUCCAUUAAUUCUUCUCUUUUCCUCACUGUAACACAGACCCUAGUUUGAUCUUCAACAUAAUCUUACUUACACUAAUACAUCUGAUAGAUAAUCAUCAGUGUAAUAUACUCAUUUUGACAUAUAAAUAUAUAUAUAUUUUUGCAUACUAUUUCUAUCUCUCAUAUAACCCCAAUAUUAUUGUAUGGCCAUAGGGAGAUGCCCUAACAGUGUUUAAAUGAAAGCAAGUUUCUUUCUGUUUACAGAAAGAACUCAUCAUUUUCCAGGCUUAUUUUUAAACAGAAUAUUCUGAAUUUACAGCAUAAUAUACACUAUUAACGAUUAUAAAGGUGUUAACAAAAACAAAAGACAAUUCUGCUUUCCUUACAAUGGCAGCAAUACGCUCAAGGUAUUUGGCACCAGAGUUCAACUUUGUUGUACUAUCUAACAUUUGUAAACCUUAGUGAUCAGACAGCCUGAAUUCAAAAUUAUUUGGUCUGUGAUUUAUGAGUAUUCUGAAUAUGUAUUGGGCAUCGAUUAGACAGAAGAGCUGCUGAUGGGCAGGGAAAAUCCCCUAGAAAUGAACACACACACACAUACAGACAAAUAGACAGACACAGACAAACAAAGACAAACACUGUUGGGGUAAACAUGUGGCCAGGUUUGUUGAGAAUGAUAGUAAUAUUUGAGAUGUGCUUAUGAUGUACAUGUAGAUUUAGGCUUCCAUGUUGGUAGGUUCCAGUCUCUCUUUCAUCAAUUUGAUAAUGAGUUUGAAAUGUUCUGUCAUCGUAUUAUGAUUUUUUUUUUUCCUUCUCCAUGUAUGUGUGUUGUAAAGAAGGAACAGAUGUGGUUGUAUUUAUUCCUUAUGUCAAUCAGAUUUUGGUAUGAUAGACUGAAUAUAAUUUCAUAUUAGAUGAAUUUCAUUGAUGUAGGUUUAUCGUUUGCAUAUUGACCUCUGACCUCUCAGAUGCAAUAAGUUAUUCAUCCUUGAUGGAAACAGGUUUGAGGUUUGUAACCCAACGUCAAGAUGCUUUUAUUUUAAGUUGUUUCUUCUCAAAGUUAACCUCAAAGUUAAUCUCAAGCAGAUUCUUAUUCAUACAGCACCUAUACCAUAUUUUCACUUUUGUGCUAUUGAUUUCAUUUCAGAAUCGUAAAUGGCCUAUUUCAUCUUCAAGUCCAAUCUGUGUAUUUAUGAAUCAAUUGAGGGUUAGAUUGUUUUGAGAUUACGUGCUCUUGCAUUUCUGAUAUCCCAGAAGCAAUUCCAUCAUUGUUAUAAUUUAAAACGAUACUUGAAGUAAUUUGCUUGACAAUAUGAAUUAAAAAGGAUGGCUGUUUUUUUUUAUAAAUCAAGUGUGAUGAUAAAAGCCCGGUUAUCAGGAUUUUGUCAUUGCAAGUGCACCUCUCACAAUAUGCAAUAAUCAGUUGUGUGCGAUACAAUUCUGAAUCAACUUCCAUGAUCUUUACUACGUAAUGAUACCAAAUGAAUGAGCUACAGAAUCACACUCUCCAUGUAUA